UGGGGGAUAUUGCACAAUGAGCGAAAGCCUGAUGCAGCGACGCCGCGUGGGGGAUGAAGGCCUUCGGGUUGUAAACUUCUUUUGCUCUGAACAAGGCAUGCUAAUGGGUGUGUUGAGUGUAGGGGUUAAUUAGCGCCGGCUAACUACGUGCCAGCAGCCGCGGUAAUACGUAGGGCGCGAGCGUUGUCCGGAAUUAUUGGGCGUAAAGGGCUUGUAGGUGGCUGGUUGCGUCUGUCGUGAAAGCUCAUGGCUUAACUGUGGGUUUGCGGUGGGUACGGGCUGGCUUGAGUGCAGUAGGGGAGGCUGGAAUUCCUGGUGUAGCGGUGGAAUGCGCAGAUAUCAGGAGGAAUACCGGUGGCGAAGGCGGGUCUCUGGGCUGUUACUGACACUGAGGAGCGAAAGCAUGGGGAGCGAACAGG
rnacentral:rRNA from 1 species